rnacentral:rRNA from 2 species
UAUUAAAGUUGUUGCAGUUAAAAAGCUCGUAGUUGGAUUUCUGGUAGGAGCGACCGGUCGGGCAUUGAUUUGUCUGCACUGGAGUCGGUUCUUGCCAUCCUCUUGGAAAGUGCGUAUGGCAUUAAGUUGUCGUGCGUAUGAUCCAGGUCUUUUACUGUGAAAAAAUUAGAGUGUUUAAAGCAGGCCUUCGCCUUGAAUACAUUAGCAUGGAAUAAUAAGAUAGGACUUGGGUCUAUUUUGUUGGUUUGCAGACCGAAGUAAUGAUUAAUAGGGAUAGUUGGGGGUAUUUAUAUUCCGAUGUCAGAGGUGAAAUUCUUAGAUUUUCGGAAGAUAAACUUAUGCGAAAGCAUUUACCAAGGAUGUUUUCAUUAAUCAAGAACGAAAGUUAGGGGAUCGAAGAUGAUUAGAUACCAUCGUAGUCUUAACCAUAAACUAUGCCGACUCAGGAUUGGUGAACGUUGAUUUAAUGACUUCAUCAGCACUGUAUGAGAAAUCAAAGUCUUUGGGUUCCGGGGGGAGUAUGGUCGCAAGGCUGAAACUUAAAGGAAU